UGGGGAAUAUUGGACAAUGGGCGAAAGCCUGAUCCAGCAAUGCCGCGUGAGUGAUGAAGGCCUUAGGGUUGUAAAGCUCUUUUACCAGGGAUGAUAAUGACAGUACCUGGAGAAUAAGCUCCGGCUAACUCCGUGCCAGCAGCCGCGGUAAUACGGAGGGAGCUAGCGUUGUUCGGAAUCACUGGGCGUAAAGGGCGCGUAGGCGGGCAGUUAAGUCAGGGGUGAAAGCCCGAGGCUCAACCUCGGAAUUGCCUCUGAUACUGGCUGUCUAGAGUUCGAGAGAGGUGAGUGGAAUUCCUAGUGUAGAGGUGAAAUUCGUAGAUAUUAGGAAGAACACCGGUGGCGAAGGCGGCUCACUGGCUCGAUACUGACACUGAGGUGCGAAAGCGUGGGGAGCAAACAGGAUUAGAUACCCCUGUAGUCCCUGAGCGGGCUGGCAAGGCGCAU
rnacentral:rRNA from 1 species